rnacentral:rRNA from 1 species
GAUGAACGCUGGCGGCGUGCCUAAUACAUGCAAGUCGAGCGAACAGACGAGGAGCUUGCUCCUCUGACGUUAGCGGCGGACGGGUGAGUAACACGUGGAUAACCUACCUAUAAGACUGAGAUAACUUCGGGAAACCGGAGCUAAUACCGGAUAAUAUAUUGAACCGCAUGGUUCAAUAGUGAAAGACGGUUUUGCUGUCACUUAUAGAUGGAUCCGCGCCGCAUUAGCUAGUUGGUAAGGUAACGGCUUACCAAGGCAACGAUGCGUAGCCGACCUGAGAGGGUGAUCGGCCACACUGGAACUGAGACACGGUCCAGACUCCUACGGGAGGCAGCAGUAGGGAAUCUUCCGCAAUGGGCGAAAGCCUGACGGAGCAACGCCGCGUGAGUGAUGAAGGUCUUCGGAUCGUAAAACUCUGUUAUUAGGGAAGAACAAAUGUGUAAGUAACUAUGCACGUCCUGACGGUACCUAAUCAGAAAGCCACGGCUAACUACGUG